AACGAACGCUGGCGGCAUGCCUAACACAUGCAAGUCGAACGAAGCCUUCGGGCUUAGUGGCGCACGGGUGCGUAACGCGUGGGAACCUGCCUUUCGGUUCGGAAUAACAGUUGGAAAUGACUGCUAAUACCGGAUGAUGUCUUCGGACCAAAGAUUUAUCGCCGAAAGAUGGGCCCGCGUAGGAUUAGCUAGUUGGUGGGGUAAAGGCCUACCAAGGCGACGAUCCUUAGCUGGUCUGAGAGGAUGAUCAGCCACACUGGGACUGAGACACGGCCCAGACUCCUACGGGAGGCAGCAGUGGGGAAUAUUGGACAAUGGGCGAAAGCCUGAUCCAGCAACGCCGCGUGAGUGAUGAAGGCCUUAGGGUUGUAAAGCUCUUUUACCAGGGAUGAUAAUGACAGUACCUGGAGAAUAAGCUCCGGCUAACUCCGUGCCAGCCGCCGCAGUAA
rnacentral:rRNA from 1 species